rnacentral:tRNA from 1 species
AAGAAAGUGGCAGAGUGGUCAUGCGGCUGGCUUGAAACCAGCACAUGGGGGUUCAAUUCCCUCCUUUCUCG